UUUUCUUUCUGAAUUUAAAAGUUUCUAUAACGUUGCUUUGAGAAGUACGUGGAUCGUUUCUAUUUAACGUGCUUUUGCGCAAUUUUCAUUGUAGCAGGGGUUUAUUCCUGCUGAAGAUUUCUGACUUCAAUGACUAAGUAAAACUAUCAUUGUGUACAAUCAAAUGUUAGAUACUGCAGAAAUAAACAAUAUGUUCACUGUGCUUUUGCCUGCCGAAGUGUUAAAAAAGAUAAAAAUCUUUGUAUCGGUUAUCCUUCGCGUUACGUUAAGGAUGCGCAGUUUAUUUAUGAAGUGCAACAAGAACAUACACGCGGAUGACAUCAAAGUACUGCGAGAGCGACUCGAAAGAUCAUGGACAGCAUUCUGAUUUCAAAUCACUCUCGCGGUAUUUUAACGUCAUCCGUUUGUCAGUUCCUGCAACUCAACAUUACGUUGAACACCUUGUCAAAAAUGAUUGAGAUGGCCAAUCAAAUCAAAAAAGGCGAGUUCCACUGGCCAAUCACGAGGUUUCCUGUUAACGGAAGCCGAGCGGCGGCCAAUCAAAUUAACCAAUAGGCGGGGUUACCGUCGGAGUAGCAGUUACACCAUACACCGCGUCAAUCAAUCAUAACGGACACAGAUUUCAAAGGCAGCAGGAUGAAAGAUAACCAGUAAGUACCUGAACUUAAAUAUUUAAACUUUUCCAAUCAUAAAAAUGUUUUUGUUUAAAUGUCUAACAAACGUAUUAAGGGAUGCAAACGUUUACGUGAUUCGUGUGUAACGUAAUGUGUGACAAUUAACGUUAUAUUGAUAUUAAAUUAGCUGUUUUCUAUCAGGUUAAAAAUAACUGUGAUCAUAUUAUAAUGAAGUAAUCGAAUUUGGUUUUCUGGUCUUCCUGAUGUUAGAACAUUUAUAUGAAAAACAUAUUUAAAACUGUAUUUCUGUAACGUUUAAUUUUAUUUUUUGGUGAAAGUGUGUCAGUGUUCAUCAAGACAUGAAGACUCUGGAGUGGGACAAGAGAAGGAUGAUGGGGUGUAUAUUCCAAUAGACACAUCAAGUCACAUUGUGAUUUCAGUGAAAGCUGAUAAAUACAGAGAGCUGGACAGUGGUUUCAUUGAUUAAGUAAAGAGGUGGGGCAAUGAUGCUGACAGGAAAGGAGGAGGUGACAUUCAGGUUAGUGACAGUACAUCAGGGCCACCAUUUAAUUUAAUGUUAAUUUGUUUGCUUCCAAAAUCAAUACUUGACAAAUCUUUAGAAUUAUAUCUGCAAAGCUGAAUUUCUCAUAGGUGGAUAAAGUAUGACAGCAAUUGUGAAGACCUUAGACGUGCAGUAUAUGGUUCUUCUCUCUUUCAUUUAUAUUGAUUUGACUUAAUUGUCUUGGUAACUAAUAAUGGGGAUAUUCCUAAUAUAAUAUAUUUUAAGUACAUGCUUAGAACAUAUCUCAUUUGCUCUGUAUCUAAAUGAAAAGUACCUCUUUAAGGUCUAAGCUAUGUUUCAUUUUAUUUAGACAUUCAACGCAGACAUUUUCAUCCAAAGCAACUUGAGGAAGAAAACAGAAGCAGUUCAUCCUAAAAAGUGGGCUGCUGUAAUGUUUACAUCUAUGGAAAGAGGAGCUGAGAAGAAAAGAGACACUGGAAAGCAGUACUUCUUGUUGAGGACAAUCCUGAAUAGGAACACUUUCUCAUACACAUAGAUUAUUA